rnacentral:rRNA from 1 species
UACAGAGGGUGCGAGCGUUGUUCGGAAUUACUGGGCGUAAAGCGCGCGCAGGCGGCCCUUUAAGUCUACCCGUGAAAUGCCGGAGCUCAACUCCGUGCACGCCGGGGGAUACUGGGGGGCUGGAGACAUGUAGAGGCAAGCGGAAUUCCGGGUAUAGCGGUGGAAUGCGUAGAGAUCCGGAAGAACACCUGAGGCGAAGGCGGCUUGCUGGGCAUGAUCUGACGCUGAGGCGCGAAAGCGUGGGGAGCAAACAGG